rnacentral:ncRNA from 2 species
CCCGACACGCGGUACGUCGGUGCGAUAUCGACGACGGCAAGACGGAAGCCGGUGGGAAUCCGGCACGGUCGCGCCACUGUGAACGAGGGGUCCCGGACGGGAUGUCUUGUGAGUCAGACCCGUAGCCGUCGUCCUGUGCUCCAC